GACCGCUGUGUAGGAUACUGGAAGUCGGCCUGGCACCAGUGACCUCCAGGAGGUGCAGAUCCUAGAAGCCUGCCAGGAUUUGGCUAGUGAUGGUCCUAGAAGUGAAGUGGCCGGCAGACAAAUGGCUCUAGUGUGCAACAGACUUCAGCACAACCAUGACCAGGAUCCUGGAGGGCAAACACUGACCUCAGAAGGGUUUCCAGUGGCACAAGUGGCAGCGCAUGCUUCUACAUGCUUCUACAGGCCCUCUUCAGAAGUAUGAUGCCAGCCCACUUCCUUUGUCCAUCUUGAAAUCCAAGGUGAUGCCACCCAAGGGGGGACCUACUGCAAGAAAGAACUAUUAUUCAAUGGGAGUAUGGCCUUUGAGCAUGGAUAAUUGAUCAUAAAUCUUUGGGCAGCCCAGCUGGUUUUCCAUAUGACUACAGAGGAGCACCAUAUGGCCUCUGGCACUCACAGGGGUCCGCAACACUCACAGAUUUCAUAAUAUAGGACAUCUGAACUAGGCCAAUGCAUAUUUGUUUUCCAUACCAGAAAAGCUGAAAUCUCGACUGUUGGAUAAGGACGAACUUAUAAAUUUACUAAAAUAAAAAAUUGAUGUUUCAAGUCAUUAAAGAAAAAUUCAGCUGUAUGCCUUUGAAUAUCCAGGCAAGUACCAAGUUGUGCCAAGAAUGAGGUUAUACAUGAUUCCUCACUCUAUAUGUGAUCAUAUCUAAAAAUUUAAGUCUUCUGUGG